UGAGUUCGCCAGGCAGUCGCUAUCUAUGUAAAUAGGUGGAGGAAAGUCCGGGCUCCAAAGGGUAGAGUGCCAGGUAACACCUGGGGGGCGCGAGCCUACGGCCAGUGCAGCAGAGAGUAUACCGCCUAAGCAGCUUCGGCUGACGGUAAGGGUGAAAUGGUGCGGUAAGAGCGCACCGCAUGACUGGCAACAGUUCAUGGCGAUGGUAAACCCCACUCGGAGCAAGACCAAAUAGGGAUCCAUUGGUGUGACCCGCACUGGAUCCGGGUAGGUUGCUUGAGGUAUGCGGUGACGCAUAUCCCAGAUGAAUGACUGUCCACGACAGAACCCGGCUUAUCGGCGAACUCAAUUC
rnacentral:RNase_P_RNA from 1 species